GAUGAACGCUGGCGGCGUGCCUAAUACAUGCAAGUCGAGCGAACGGACGAGAAGCUGGCUUCUCUGAUUUUAGCGGCGGACGGGUGAGUAACACGUGGAUAACCUACCUAUAAGACUGGGAUAACUUCGGGAAACCGGAGCUAAUACCGGAUAAUAUUUUGAACCGCAUGGUUCAAAAGUGAAAGACGGUCUUGCUGUCACUUAUAGAUGGAUCAGCGCUGCAUUAGCUAGUUGGUAAGGUAACGGCUUACCAAGGCAACGAUGCAUAGCCGACCUGAAAGGGAGGUCGGCCAGCCUGGAAGUGAGACACGGCACAGACUCUUACGGGAGGCAGCAGUCGGGAAUCUUACGCAAUGGGCGAAAGCGUGACGGUGCAAAGUCGGGUGAGGGCUGAAGGUCUUCGGAUCGUAAAACUAUGUUAUUCGGGAAGUACAUAUGUGUAAGUAACUGUGAUCAUAUUGACGGUACCUAAUCAGAAAGCCACGGCUAACUCCGUG
rnacentral:rRNA from 1 species